rnacentral:rRNA from 1 species
UACGUAGGGUGCGAGCGUUGUCCGGAAUUAUUGGGCGUAAAGAGCUCGUAGGCGGUCUGUCGCGUCGAUCGUGAAAACUUGGGGCUCAACCCUGAGCUUGCGGUCGAUACGGGCAUGACUGGAGUUCGGCAGGGGAGACUGGAAUUCCUGGUGUAGCGGUGAAAUGCGCAGAUAUCAGGAGGAACACCGGUGGCGAAGGCGGGUCUCUGGGCCGAUACUGACGCUGAGGAGCGAAAGCGUGGGGAGCGAACAGG